GGUUAUGGCUCAGCGGUAGAGUGCUUGCCUAGCACAUGCGAGGCCCUGGGUUCGAUCCUCAGCACCA
rnacentral:tRNA from 1 species